UACGGGGGGGGUAAGCGUUGUUCGGAAUUACUGGGCGUAAAGGGCUCGUAGGCGGCCAACUAAGUCAGACGUGAAAUCCCUCAGCUUAACUGGGGAACUGCGUCUGAUACUGGAUGGCUUGGAUUUGGGAGAGGGAUGCGGAAUUCCAGGUGUAGCGGUGAAAUGCGUAGAUAUCUGGAGGAACACCGGUGGCGAAGGCGGCAUCCUGGACCAAUACUGACGCUGAGGAGCGAAAGCGUGGGGAGCAAACAGGG
rnacentral:rRNA from 1 species